ACUCAAAGGAAUAGACGGGGACUCGCACAAGCAGUGGAUCAUGCGGCUUAAUUCGAUGAUUAACGAAGAACCUUACCAAGGCUAGAAAUCCAGCUGCAUCCCACCCGAAAGGGAGGGAGCCUUCGAGGGUGCUGGACAGGUGGUGCAUGGUUGUCGUCAGUUCGUGGCUUGAGCUGUUCCCUUCAGUGGGGUAACGAACGCAACCCCCGUUGUCUGUUAAAUAUGUCAGGCGAGACUGCCCCCUCACGGGGGAGGAAGGUGGGGAUGACGCCAAAUCAGCAUGCCCUUAGAUGCCUUGGGCCGCACGCAUGAUACAAUGGGUAGUACAGAAGGAUGCAAGACCGCAAGGUGGAGCCAAUCCCAAAAACUACCCCCAGUACGGAUAGCGGUCUGCAACCGACCGCUUGAAGCCGGAAUUGCUAGUAAUCGUGGGUCAGCCACACCACGGUGAAUACGUUCUCGAGUCUUGUACACACCGCCCGU
rnacentral:rRNA from 1 species